UGGGGCAGAAGACGACACAUCAACGUCCUUGGUGGAUUGGCAAAAAGAGAAAAGAGAAAAAUAGUAAAAGAGAAAGAGUAUAAGGGAGAAGGAAUGAGAGAAGACAAACUGAAUUUCUGCCACAGUAAAAUGGCACUGAGGGGGAAAAAAAUGAAAGGAAAUGAUGAUUAAAGAUGAGUAGUUGGACUAUAGUGUUGAUAUUGUUGUGUUAGGCAUAAUUUAAGUGUAGUAGAAAACGCCUCCUAUUCUUAACUCAGUUAAUGAUGAGGUGCAGCCAAAGGUAGACCAACAACGUAUUAAGUAAAGGCUGUAUACUUGCAUAAAUGUGAUUUCUCGGUUUUCAAUUUUUAAUAAAUUUGCAAAACACUCCAAGCUUUUUUAACAUAUUUGUCUGUAGAAUUUUGAGGAAAGAAAUUAAUUUAGAACUAUUUGAAAGAACGGUGUACCAUAUCAAAUUGUGCAAAAAAAAAUAAAAAAUAAAAAUUAAGCGCUGCGAAUACGUUUUGAAUGCAUCGUGCCUGAGGACAUUUCAGAGUGAACAGGAAACCUAACAAACAUGCUUUUUACUGUGAGAGGAAUUUUAAGUGCCUGAAGUUCUCCCUGUACAUGCCUAGAGAAAACCCAGGCACGUACAGGGAGAACAUGCAAAUUCAUUGCCCAUGUCAGGGGCCCAGGGCCUUCUUGCUACAAGAAAACAUCUGAAAUGUAAAUAAAACAACUUUUUCCCCCAAAAAAUUGAUACGUCUUUUACAUUGAGAGAUGAUUGUUUCAAACUUAUUUGUUCAAAAUUUUCUGGCCCCUGGUAAAUUUUGAGUUCAAUUCUAUUUGUCAGUUUGGAUUUAAAAAAUUUUUAAAAUUUUUUUUUUUUCCCCCCCCCCCCCCCAUCUCAAAAACCCAGGAUUCUAACUGGAGUGUUUCGACUUUUUAUAUUGAAUGUAUAUUAAUAUUAUUUGCAUCUGCCAACAUGGAACAGCAUGAUACUGAUAAUAUUUUUUUCCAGGAAUAUUGAAGAGGAGAGGUUGGAGAUGCUCCAUCAUAAAUAAGCAAGUCUGUCUAUCUUUGAACUUUUGUUGUUUGGAGCUAAAGCAUAGUUCAAACAACAAAGGGAAUAAAUGGAACUUAAUUCUGUUUGUUUUGUGCAACAAAGGAUGAAGUUGAGAGGGUCAGUGGAAAAGAAAAGGCAAGGAUGAGUGUUAUCGACAAACUUUGAGGUGAAAUACUUGAAUAGAGGUAAAAUUUGAGAGGAACAAGUUAACUGGAGUGAUUGUCCCACUUUUGUCAGUUUUAGUUAUAGGUUAAAUAUUGAAAACAAAAAAAACCAGAAAGAGAUGGAAAAUGAGUUGGAGUCUGUUGAGAGAGACCAGUAGAGCAGGAGGGAAAUAAAACGAUUAGCUAAGGUGGGUAGACAGGGUUGGUAAAAUAAUUGAUGGCCAUGGUUGUAGCUGCUGCGGUAAUAAUAUUACAGAUGCAAGAGCAUGCAAAGGUCACUUAGCAUAUUGAAUAUGUAAUUAUUUCUUUUGCUGUCUUUAUGCCAGCCAUCGUUUUCCAUUUUUUACUGUUUAUGUGCUCCAAUUUUCAGGAUUGGGGUGAAUAUUUGGGCUUUUGUGUUCCUGUUUGAACACAAAACCAUGAAAAGAGGGUCUCUGCUGGAGGGCACGACUCUCCUGUUUACCACACACCAGGUUACUAUCAGGUCAUCUGGAUGCUGGUGAUAUAAUGAGUAGUUGAAGGACCUCUCUUUCUCUGAUGGUUGAAGCUGUCACAGGUGACCUCGUUUUUGUCAAAAGACUCACCCUUCCAACGCAAUCCUCCUCCUUUGGUUUCUUAGUUCAUGGAUGCUUUGGUUGCUUCAUCACUUUUCACCUCUGUCUGCCUGCCCCAUUCUCAGACGUCCUCUGCUCAGACCCUGCUGGACUUCUCACUCAGGUUCCAAUGGAAAAUAAAGGAUUCCCUUCUGACAAGCUCCAUUUCCAGACACCAACAUCUUUCACCCACCGCCUGGAUCUCCAAGCCUCCUUGGCAUCUGUUUUUCAUCCUGGAACUGUAAGAUCUCCUCUCAACAUCUUGCAUGAUUCAACCAACUUGUGCUCCCCCUUCUAACCAUUGCCUCUCUUUUCUGGACACUGUAGAAACUUGAAAUCUUGACCCAAUUUGUGUGUGUCUUGCCAUUUAUAAAACAUACAUUUUCUAACAUAAUUUAUGCUAAUUAUGGUCUAGGUCUAAUUCUGUUGACCCACCUGAUUCUCCACCAGGGUCAGAAAACUUUAACAUCAACAGCCCAAUAGAGAGAGAAAAAACACUCUCAGCUUCUGAGAAUGAUUUGUUUUAAAGAACUAUAAAAAGUGGGUCAGGGCAAGGAUUUAUUGUCAUCUGAGAAUUUAUUUUUAUGGAGCUGUACAUUAAAAUGAAUUUUAUGACACUG